GAGUUUGAUCGUGGCUCAGGACGAACGCUGGCGGCGUGCCUAACACAUGCAAGUCGAACGGGACUGUUUUGAAAGAUUUCUUCGGAAUGAAUUUGAUUUAGUUUAGUGGCGGACGGGUGAGUAACGCGUGAGUAACCUGCCUUCAAGAGGGGGAUAACAUUCUGAAAAGGAUGCUAAUACCGCAUGACAUAUCGGAACCACAUGGUUUUGAUAUCAAAGAUUUUACCGCUUGAAGAUGGACUCGCGUCCGAUUAGUUAGUUGGUGAGGUAACGGCUCACCAAGACCGCGAUCGGUAGCCGGACUGAGAGGUUGAACGGCCACAUUGGGACUGAGACACGGCCCAGACUCCUACGGGAGGCAGCAGUGGGGGAUAUUGCGCAAUGGGGGCAACCCUGACGGCAGCAACGCCGCGUGAAGGAUGAAGGUUUUCGGAUUGUAAACUUCUUUAUUAAGGACGAAGAUUGACGGUACUUAAUGAAUAAGCUCCGGCUAACUACGUGCCAGCAGCCGCCGCUGUAAU
rnacentral:rRNA from 1 species